rnacentral:rRNA from 1 species
GACGAACGCUGGCGGCGUGCUUAACACAUGCAAGUCGAACGGAGUUCCUCGGAUCAAGACUUCGGUCAAGUGAACUGGAACUUAGUGGCGGACUGGUGAGUAACGCGUGAGGAACCUGCCUUUCAGAGGGGGACAACAGUUGGAAACGACUGCCAAUACCGCAUGACGCAUUCGGGUCGCAUGGCCUGAAUGCCAAAGAUUUUAUCGCUGAAAGAUGGCCUCGCGUCUGAUUAGCUAGUUGGUGAGGUAACGGCCCACCAAGCCGACGAUCAGUAGCCGACCUGAGAGGGUGACCGGCCACAUUGGGACUGAGACACGGCCCAA